rnacentral:rRNA from 1 species
GACGAACGCUGGCGGCGUGCUUAACACAUGCAAGUCGAACGAAGUGGCGAACGGGUGAGUAAUACGUGGGUACCCUGCCCUCCUUUUUGGGAUAAGCCUUGGAAACGGGGUCUAAUACCGAAUAAAGGGGGAUGGGCUCGCGGCCUAUGAGCUUGUUGGUGGGGUGAUGGCCUACCAAGGCGGUGACGGGUAGCCGGCCUGAGAGGGUGACCGGCCACAUAGAGACUGAGAUACGGCCUAGAGGAGGACGGGGGGGGGCAGUGGGGGAUAUUGCAGAAAGGGCGAAAGCCUGAUGCAGCGACGCCGCGUGGGGGAUGAAGACUUUAGGGUUGUAAACCUCGUUCGGAAUCGAAGCGGUAGGUGGAGAAGAAGCGCCGGCUAACUACGUGCCAGCAGCCGCGGUAAUUC